rnacentral:rRNA from 1 species
UACGUAGGUGGCAAGCGUUGUCCGGAAUUAUUGGGCGUAAAGCGCGCGCAGGCGGCCUUUUAAGUCUGAUGUGAAAGCCCACGGCUCAACCGUGGAAGGUCAUUGGAAACUGAAAGGCUUAAGUACAGAAGAGGAAAGCGGAAUUCCACGUGUAGCGGUGAAAUGCGUAGAGAUGUGGAGGAACACCAGUGGCGAAGGCGGCUUUCUGAUCUGUAACUGACGCUGAGGCGCGAAAGCGUGGGGAGCAAACAGG